UUGUGAGUGCAUUCCUACAAUAACGCACACGGUGCAUAUGGUUCCCCUCCCCCUCGUCCGUCCUCACUCUGAUCUCAUCUGGAUUCACUGAACUCAAAAUGGCCACCAGGUCUUUUAGUGCACGAGCACGUCUUAUGUUAAAACAAUCAUACUCAUCAUGAUAAUCAUACACACAUCUGCCUGUUUCAUACAUGCUAGCCUGUCAACAUCACCCGGACCAGAGACGAGCAGAUGCUUUUCACUGUCCCGGUUUCUCAUGCAAGUCCAAUUUGCGUCCAAUCUUCACCUGGUCACACAAGCAAGGUACUGAACCAUGGCCAUGUUUGCACCGGCGACCAGCUACUGGCUCUCUGCCACACCCGAGUCCAUGCAGAGAGAUCGAAGAUAUGCGGAGGAAGAGACCAGCGUUGAGCGUCGGGCUGGACGGACUUCGCCGUGCCCUGGCUGAAUGAGCAUGUGUCGUACCCUUCAGUCUCGCACUGGACGGAUUCCCGCUCAUCUGCCUGGACUGGAUAUCGGCCGGGCAGGGACGGAGUCGGCUCUCUUGGUUGCUUUGUUGGGUCUGUUCCUGUCUCUGGUCGUGCUGCCCCCCCACCCCAGCGGACGAUGUGGGUGUUGAGAUGUUUUUUAUUUAUUUUCGUUUUACUUUGUAGCUGUAUGUAGAAAAACCCCGCUGACGUGGCAGCUGGUUGCAUUAGAUCUGUGCUCUUUUUUUUUUUAAUGGGCUUUGACAGAUACAGGUUUAAGAAAAUACAUUUCAGGAAACACAUUCCGAGAACCUAUCACAGAUCUGCAUCUACUCAGAGGUAUAUCAUGAACUAAAUGCCCUGAGCUUUAAGGGAUUACAGUCACAAACUGAGGUUGUUCAACCUCUUCUUAAAGGCAUGAAUACUGCUUGAUGUAAUGUCUCCAACAACCACAGGGGGAAAGAAGGCUGUUCAUAUUGUAAUAGCAGUGGAGAAAGCUCCUGUCGAGGCAUUUGGUGUUAGACUUUGGGGUUUCUAGCGCAUGACUUGGUAGUACCCUCCGGGUGAUGCGACCUGAGGUGUGGGCUGGGAGUAGCAGUGUCUUACUAAUGUCUUUUAUAUCCUUUGUGUUCUUUAAUGUUUCCCCCUUGCUUCUCAUACCAAGAUGGCGCAGCAGUACUGGUUUUUGCCUUUAUUUCUUCAAUUGCGCAAAGAGCACCGUCUACCAAGUCAAAUACCUUGUGUGGUAAACAUAUUUGGCCAAUAAAGCUAAUUCUGGUUCUAUUACAACCGCAAGUAAUGGUAAUUGUUUAUUUGUUUUAGACACAAGUAAGUCACAUUAAGGAACAUCUCAAGUUGCGACAUUACUUAAGUCAUAAU